rnacentral:lncRNA from 1 species
AAAAGUCUUGUGUGACCAGAAGCUUAUCAACCUUGUGUGCUGUUGGCUUACUUUAACAUUUACAGCAGAUGAUAGAAUUGUGUUCAGAUGACACAAUAAGGUAUCAAAUGACUUCACGAAAGCAAGACGGCACUGAACCCCAAGUUUGUGCCUUCAGUCUCUCGCCUCGGCACCUAGGUAAUCCUUUGCCCACAGGACCACACCACCCUCCCCCAGUGAGAGGAACCAGAGUGACGGGAAAGGGAAGCCCCACACAACCAGCACUCGAGGCCCGGCCCACUGGGAGCACUGGGUGGCCUGGCCUGGGAAAGCCCCUUGUGCCCCUUGGGUGGCACCAGCAGGUACCCGUGGGAGCUCCAGCAGCACCAGACAAACCAAGCAGACCCAAGAUAGCACCAUGAAGGCUCUGAACAUCAAAUUGUCACUGGAAGCAUGGCCUGCAGAAGCGGGCCACAAUCCUCACACUAAACCUAAGCAGAGCGACUGGCUGCAAAAAGGAAAGACUUAAAAAAUAGGAUCCAGAGACCUUCCUCUUCCUCAUGAGUUUUCCAAAUCACACUUGAUUGAAACAAAAACGUUAGCACCAUCUGAGACUCAGGACAGUGAUAUUUAUGAGCGGGGAGGGUAAAGGAAGCUCCAUGCUAUAAGUUCCGCACCUCGCUUGAAGUAGGAAAAGGCCACGGCACGCAGGACUCACUGAGUGGCUACCAAAAGAAACCAACGCUGAGCUAUAGCAUGGCAAGCUAAUACUACAUUUUGGAAAAGCACGCAUAUUGAAAUUUGCGUCAUUUGUGCUAUUAUUUGUGCUAUUAUAAAGACCUGACGCCUGGUGGAACCGUGCUUACAAUGUGUGGGUACUUAAACGCGUGUUCUGAAAAACUCCUCUGCUGCUUCUUCCUCUGAUUUCACAUUCGGUAAACCUGCAAGUGCACACAUUUCAUCCCCUUGCAAGACUGUUGUCAGUGCUCAGUAAGUCUACAUUUUACAUAGGAUGAGGUGAUUACAAAGAUGGCACCAUGGAUAAACGACACUACCUGUGUUAGC